rnacentral:tRNA from 1 species
GCGCGGGUGUCGAAACUGGUAGACGAGCAUGCUUGAGGGGCAUGUGGGAGCAAUCCCAUGGAGGUUCAAGUCCUCUCCCGCGCACCA